rnacentral:lncRNA from 10 species
GCAAUAUUCCGCGGGCACGGUACCAGGGGAGUUUUGCAAAAUAACCCUCUCUCCCAGCCGGGAGCUCACUGCAUCUCCCUUACCACCAGAGCUGAAGGAUUACGCACAGCCCUGCGUGCCUAUCCAAAGCCAGAGACCGAAAAUCCUGGUUUGAACCCCACACUCGCCGGCCCCCCAGCCCCCAUUCAUAAUCCCAGCGGCCGUCUGCCACUACACACCCUCCCCCGGCCGCCCGCGCUCUUUCCCAUUCGCCGUCCCUGGAACGUGUCAGUCACUCGCUGUGCAUCUGCCAUGAAUACAAGACGAAGAGCUCUGCAGCUACUGGCUGCACAAAGAGGGACUGGGGCGCAGGGGACGCAGACCCCCGGGUUGGGGGAGGCGAGAGAGCCAGCGGGGCACAUUACGUGGAAGGAGCCAGUGGGACCGUGGGAGUCCUCUGGUCUCCUGUUGCACAAAGGAGCGCCAGAGUGAAUACGCGCAGUGCUCCUGAACCAACAGGUCAGAUCACCUCCCAAGAGGUGCUCCACCAAGACACCCCUGAAGAACUGGGGAGCAGAGAACUACUGGAAAAGGAUCUUCUGGACAUAAUUCCCUUCAGAGUCUCAGAGGAAGAUUUAAUAUUGGGCAAAGCCAUUUCAUUCCCUUAGACUGGUCUUCAAACUGGAAUGUGUAUCUCCUUGAGAGUACCUGAACACUCCAAAUGGUAUAUGAUAAUUUAUAAUUGCAAAGGAAUCAAUUUCCAGCUCCUAAACUUCUAUAUGUGCCCUUUCUUAGCAUAAUGUAGGUUCUUCUUUCCCAUUUCCCUUUUCACAGUAGACUUACUCUUAUUUCAAAAAGAAAAAAAUUUAAGCAUAUGUCCCUAAUACAUCCAGAAUCUUACCACAAUAUACCGGACAAGAAUGUAAAAACUCAGGGCAACCAAAUAAAGGAAUAUUUGAAAGUAUUUUGUUUAGGGAAGCCUUAUUUAAUGCAUAAUCAAGGCACUAGAGUUUGAUGAGGUGACAUAUGGAUAUUGUCUAACACUAUAUUUGGCCAUAAGCAGAGCUCAUUCCAUGUAAUAUUUACUUUCUUAAUUCAUAUUUCAAAAUUCCCCUUACUUAAUGGAUACUUACUAUUGGAUAAAUGCUUUAGAGGAGGCGGGGGAUUCAGUGUGUGACCAUACUUAACAACCCUUUGGAAAUAUGUACUUUAUA